GACGAACGCUGGCGGCGUGCUUAACACAUGCAAGUCGAACGGGCCUGUCUUCUUUUUUGGGGGUGGGUUGUGUGGCGAACGGGUGAGUAUCACGUGAGUAACCUGCCCUUCGGUCCUGGAUAACCGCUUGAAAGGGCGGCUAAUACGGGGUGGUCCGGUUGGUCCGCAUGGGCUGGUCGGGAUAGAUUCACUGUUUUUGGUGUUUCGGCGGGGGAUGGGCUCGUGGCCUAGCGGCUUGUUGGUGGGGUGAUGGCCUACCAAGGCGGUGACGGGUAGCCGGGCUGGGGGGGUGCGCGGCCACACUGGGGCUGCGAUACGGCCCAGUACGCUGCGGGGGGCAGCAGUGGGGGGUAUUGCACAAUGGGCGGAAGCCUGAUGCAGCGACGUCGGGUGAGAGGGGGAGGCCUUCGGGUUGUGAACCUCUGUUUCCGGUGGUGAAGGGCCUGUCCGUGUGGUGGGGUUGACGGUAGCCGGGGAUGAAGCGCCGGCUAACUACGUG
rnacentral:rRNA from 1 species